rnacentral:misc_RNA from 1 species
GUGCGCCUUGAGCCUUUAAUAACCAUGUCAACUUCAAUUUGUGUUUAAAUAAGGUUAUUACUACCAAGUUCCAAUAGCUAUUCAUUAGGAUCUCUGAAGUGGCAAUCAAGAUUCUUUAAUUUAGUCAUGCAAGGUGGAAUAUAGGGCUUUAUUACUUAGCUACCAUGAAAAAAAUAAGGCCAAAUUUCUAUUGAAACACAAAAUAGUGAUCUUAUUAAA